AAUAGAACAAGUGUCUUUGCAUAUCCUAGGAAAUGGUUCACCGUAUUCCUGUAUCCACCUACUUCAAUGAGUGAGAGUGUUUCUCUUCCGAGAGACAACCGAUUAAGUGGCCCCCCUGGAACUACGCCCGCAGGCUAAAACUCAAGAGAAUUGGCGGGGCCCGCACAAGCAGUGGAGUAUGUUGUUUAUUCGAAGCAACGCGAAGAACCUACCAGGGCUUGACAUCCCUUGACGAUACUAGAGAUAGUAUUUUUCUUCGGAACAAGGAGACAGGUGGUGCAUGGUUGUCGUCAGCUCGUGUCGUGAGAUGUUGGGUUAAGUCCCGCAACGAGCGCAACCCCUAUUGUUAGUUACCAUCAUUAAGUUGGGGACUCUAGCAAGACUGCCGGUGAUAAAUCGGAGGAAGGUGGGGACGACGUCAAAUCAUCAUGCCCCUUAUGUCCUGGGCUACACACGUACUACAAUGGCUAAGACAGAGGGAAGCGAAGCCGCAAAAGUGGAGCAAAACCCAGAAAAAUAGUCCCAGUUCGGAUUGUAGUCUGAAACCCGACUACAUGAAGAAGAAAUUGCUAGUAAUGGCAGGUCAGCAUACUGCCGUGAAUACGUUCCCGGGCCUUGUACACACCGCCCGUCACACCAUGAGAGUCUGUAACACCCGAAGUCAGUAGCAUAACCGAAAGGAGUGCGCUGCCGAAGGUGGGGCAGAUGAUUGGGGUGAAGUCGUAAC
rnacentral:rRNA from 1 species